UCUUAGAGGAACUAAAAUGUAAUUUUCCCAACAUGGGAUUUUUGAGAAACAAGAUGGGUAGAAAUUAGUAUAAAAUAGUAGUAUCAAAAGUGUUAUGUCAAUUUCUUGUAAUUCAUUUUCAUGUAUUUAUUAAGGGGGGGUGUCACCUCAGACAUAUUGAUGUCUCCUCCUGCCACAGCUCAACUUGUCCUUAAGGCUCUUUAGGGGGGAGUGACUAGUUGGCCACCAGUGAGGACUGGGUCCAGCUGGCCACCAUAGGCCUAUCGAGUCCCUGUGUUGUGCCUCCACCCUUGUAGGCGUUCCCCCCUGUCUGCAAGUGGUGAGAGGACCUUUGUGUUGAAUUUUGUAAUGAAUGUUUUGCCCCUGGAAUGAAAUGAGUAGCCCUUUUAUCAAAAUAUUUGUGCCUACAUGUGAUACUUUGGUUGUUUAUGCCUUUAUGCUUGUUGGAUGUGGAUAUCUGCUCGAUAUGUAUUUAUCUUGCUCGCUUUAAUAGCAUUCUAGCCUCUUGGCUAACCAACAUGCUUCGUUGUGCAGAUUAACGUGUAGAUAGAUCUGCUGACUUGUCUUGAUAGUGUUCAAGUCAAGUGCCACACGGUCCCAACUGAGUGCCAAAGCCUGGGCCCGUGACGCUAAGGACGCUUAUUUCAAGCUAAUCAGAUAUCCUGAAUGGUUCAAACAAAAGAAGGUGAAGCAGUUUGCGAAUGCUAUAGAAGAUACCUGCAAUACUGCAC
rnacentral:lncRNA from 1 species